CUACGGGGGGCUGCAGUGGGGAAUUUUGCGCAAUGGGCUAACGCCUGACGCAGCAAUACCGCGUGAGUGAAGAAGGCCUUUGGGUCGUAAAGCUCUUUUCUAAGGGAAGAUAGUGACGGUACCUUAGGAAUAAGCACCGGCUAACUCCGUGCCAGCAGCCGCGGUAAUACGGAGGGUGCGAGCGUUGUUCGGAUUUACUGGGCGUAAAGGGCACGUAGGCGGCAUAGCAAGUUAAGGGUGAAAUCCCGGGGCUCAACUCCGGAACUGCUCUUAAAACUGCUAAGCUAGAGAUAGUCAGAGGCGGGUGGAAUUCCUGGUGUAGAGGUGAAAUUCGUAGAUAUCAGGAGGAACACCGGUGGCGAAGGCGGCCCGCUGGGGCUAUUCUGACGCUAAGGUGCGAAAGCGUGGGGAGCGAACGGGAUUAGAUACCCCAGUAGUC
rnacentral:rRNA from 1 species